UACGUAGGGGGCUAGCGUUGUCCGGAAUCAUUGGGCGUAAAGCGCGCGUAGGCGGCCCCGUAAGUCCGCUGUGAAAGUCAAAGGCUCAACCUUUGAAAGCCGGUGGAUACUGUGGGGCUAGAGUCCGGAAGAGGCGAGUGGAAUUCCUGGUGUAGCGGUGAAAUGCGCAGAUAUCAGGAGGAACACCGGUGGCGAAGGCGGGUCUCUGGGCCGAUACUGACGCUGAGGAGCGAAAGCAUGGGUAGCGAACAGG
rnacentral:rRNA from 1 species